UACCCUGAUUCUGCCUUCCGCCUGUCA
rnacentral:piRNA from 1 species